rnacentral:lncRNA from 1 species
CGACCGGCAAGCGACGUCGCAUCAACAAGCUCCUGUGCAACCGGAUAAGAACUCUCCGUGAGCCAAAGGAUAUCGAAGCCGCAACUACGGAGUUGUUCUCGGAAAGUGCGCACGGCUGAGGGUCGACGAGGAGGAG